rnacentral:rRNA from 1 species
UGAUGUGAGGACGACGCUCCUCAAAUAUUUUGUAAAAAACGCCGCCGCGCUUUUAUAUAGUGGUGAAAACCCGGCGCUCUCGCGGGGCCUCCUAUAUAUCGCAUGAUAUGACACACGAAGAAAGUGUAUUUCCUCUCUUGUGGGCGCGUGAAUAUGGAUAUUAUGGGGGGACACCCCCUGGGGGAGAGGGGCUCUCUCUGGGGGCUAUACCUUCGUGGGGAAAAAAAGGGGGGGGGGCCCCCCCAUAUAUAACCCCCCGGGGGGCCCCCCCCCCAAAAAAAAAUUCCAAGGUGUUGGGGGGUUUUUCCCCCCUGGGGAGAUAGGGCCCCAAAGGUUAAAAUUAAAAAGAAUUUGGGGGGGGCCCCCCACACAACGGGGGGGAGAAUGUGUUUUAUAUUGGAAGCAACGGGGAAAACCUUUCCCCCCCCUUGAACAUGCCAGGGAAUUUUCCAAGAAAGAGUGGGUGCCUUUAAAGAAAAAACUUCACAAGAGGGGGCAGGGUGGUUGUCCACACUCGUGGUGUUUUUUUUUUUGUCCACCCCCUCGGGGUGGGCCCUUUAUGACGUCAAGUCAUCAUGCCCCUUAAUAGGUGGGGCUACACACGUCAUACAAUGGUUGGUACAAGGAGUUGCCAACCCGCGAGGGGGAGCUAAUCCCAUAAAACCAGUCGUAGUCCGGAUCGCAGUCUGCAACUCGACUGCGUGAAGUCGGAAUCGCUAGUAAUCGUGGAUCAGAAUGUCACGGUGAAUACGUUCCCGGGUCUUGUACACACCGCCCGUCACACCAUGGGAGUGGGUCUCUCCAGAAGUAGGUAGCCUAACCGCAAGGAGGCCGCUUACCACGGCGGGGUACAUGACGGGGGUGUAGAGGUGACAAGGUCUCCGUA